CGUGCACCAGUGGGGUCCCUCAGCCUGGCCUGUGCCUUCUCACAAUCCAGAACCCCUCGGGGGAUGUCGGAAAGUCGGUUUUGGCCCGAUCCCUCAGGCCAGGCUGAGGGACCCCACUGGUGCAUG
rnacentral:pre_miRNA from 1 species